UGCAGUCGAGCGGUAGCACAGAGAGCUUGCUCUCGGGUGACGAGCGGCGGACGGGUGAGUAAUGUCUGGGAAACUGCCUGAUGGAGGGGGAUAACUACUGGAAACGGUAGCUAAUACCGCAUAACGUCGCAAGACCAAAGAGGGGGACCUUCGGGCCUCUUGCCAUCAGAUGUGCCCAGAUGGGAUUAGCUAGUAGGUGGGGUAACGGCUCACCUAGGCGACGAUCCCUAGCUGGUCUGAGAGGAUGACCAGCCACACUGGAACUGAGACACGGUCCAGACUCCUACGGGAGGCAGCAGUGGGGAAUAUUGCACAAUGGGCGCAAGCCUGAUGCAGCCAUGCCGCGUGUAUGAAGAAGGCCUUCGGGUUGUAAAGUACUUUCAGCGGGGAGGAAGGUGUUGAGGCUAAUAACCUCAGCAAUUGACGUUACCCGCAGAAGAAGCACCGGCUAACUCCGUGCCAGCAGCCGCGGUAAUACGGAGGGUGCAAGCGUUAAUCGGAAUUACUGGGCGUAAAGCGCACGCAGGCGGUCUGUCAAGUCGGAUGUGAAAUCCCCGGGCUCAACCUGGGAACUGCAUUCGAAACUGGCAGGCUAGAG
rnacentral:rRNA from 1 species